rnacentral:rRNA from 1 species
GACGAACGCUGGCGGCGUGCUUAACACAUGCAAGUCGAACGGAAAGGCCCUGCUUUUGUGGGGUGCUCGAGUGGCGAACGGGUGAGUAACACGUGAGUAACCUGCCCUUGACUUUGGGAUAACUUCAGGAAACUGGGGCUAAUACCGGAUAGGAGCUCCUGCUGCAUGGUGGGGUUGGAAAGUUUCGGCGGUUGGGGAUGGACUCGCGGCUUAUCAGCUUGUUGGUGGGGUAGUGGCUUACCAAGGCUUGGACGGGUAGCCGGCCUGAGAGGGUGACCGGCCACAUUGGGACUGAGAUACGGCCCAGACUCCUACGGGAGGCAGCAGUGGGGAAUAUUGCACAAUGGGCGGAAGCCUGAUGCAGCAACGCCGCGUGCGGGAUGACGGCCUUCGGGUUGUAAACCGCUUUCGCCUGUGACGAAGCGUGAGUGACGGUAAUGGGUAAAGAAGCACCGGCUAACUACGUG